GAUAGCCAUAAAUGACCGCUGGAUUUAGGGUGGGUUCGGUCACCAGACGCACGGUUUGGCUGGCUGCAUCGUAUAAACCGCCCCAGUACAUCGCUUUGGCGACUAGCAGUAAGGCUCCUGCGCCCAAAAAUAGCAGGUGAUGGCCCAAAAUCAGUCCCAAUUGUUUGGGGUCGUCCCA
rfam:Oscillatoria acuminata PCC 6304, complete genome.